UUGGUGUCGUUAUCGGGCUUCAAAACCACACCGGCGC
rnacentral:tRNA from 13 species